rnacentral:rRNA from 1 species
CCUACGGGAGGCAGCAGUGAGGAAUAUUGGUCAAUGGACGGAAGGCUGAACCAGCCGAGUCGCGGGAAGGAAGAAGGAUCUAUGGGUUGUAAACUUCUUUUAUAGGGGAAUAAAGGGAUCCACGUGUGGAUAUUUGCAUGUACCCUAUGAAUAAGCAUCGGCUAACUCCGUGCCAGCCGCCGCGGUAAUACGGAGGAUGCGAGCGUUAUCCGGAUUUAUUGGGUUUAAAGGGUGCGUAGGUUUUUUUUUAAGUCAGCGGUGAAAGUUUGUGGCUCAACCUUAAAAUUGCCGUUGAAACUGGUAGACUUGAGUGUGUUUGAGGUAGGCGGAAUGCGUGGUGUAGCGGUGCAAUGCCUAGAUAUCACGCAGCACUCCGAUUGCGAAGGCAGCUUACUAAGCCAUAACUGACACUGACGCACGAAAGCGUGGGGAUCAAACAGGAUUAGAUACCCUUGUAGUC